rnacentral:rRNA from 1 species
UACGGAGGGUGCGCGCGUUAUCCGGAAUUACUGGGUUUAAAGGGUGCGUAGGCGGCUUUGUAAGUCAGGAGUGAAGGUUUGCGGCUCAACCGUAAAAUUGCUUUUGAUACUGCAUAGCUAGAAUUAGGAUGAGGUCAGCGGAAUGUGGCAUGUAGCGGUGAAAUGCAUAGAUAUGCCAUAGAACACCAAUUGCGAAGGCAGCUGGCUAGACCUGGAUUGACGCUGAGGAACGAAAGCGUGGGUAGCGAACAGG